GACGAACGCUGGCGGCGUGCUUAACACAUGCAAGUCGAACGGAAAGGCCCUGCUUUUGUGGGGUGCUCGAGUGGCGAACGGGUGAGUAACACGUGAGUAACCUGCCCUUGACUUUGUGAUAACUUCAGGAAACUGGGGCUAAUACCGGAUAGGAUCUCCUGCUGCAUGGUGUUGGUUGGAAAGUUUCGGCGGUUGUGGAUGGACUCGCGGCUUAUGCGCUUGUUGGUGAGGUAGUGGCUUACCAAGGCUUUGACGGGUAGCCGGCCUGGGAGGGGUACCGGGCACAUGGGGACUGCGAUACGGAGCAGACGCCUACGGGAGGCAGCAGUGGAGAACAUGGCACAAUGGGCGGAAGUCUGAGGCAGCAGCGUCGCGUGCGGGAUGCCGGGUUACGGGGUGUAAACCGCUUUGGCAGGUGACGAGGAGUGAGUGACGGUAAUGGGUAAAGAAGCAACGGCUAACUACGUG
rnacentral:rRNA from 1 species